rnacentral:rRNA from 1 species
UAUGGCUCACGAUGAACGCUGGCGGCAUGCUUAACACAUGCGAGUUGAACGGGUUUAAGUUUAUUAAACUUAAACAAGUAGCGGACGGGUGAGUAACGCGUAAGAACCUACCUUUAGGUAAGGAAUAACUAUUGGAAACGAUAGAUAAUACCUUAUAAGCUUAUAGUAAAAGAUAAAAUCGCCUAAGGAUGGGCUUGCGUCUGAUUAGCUUGUUGGUGAUUUAAAAGAUUCACCAAGGCAACGAUCAGUAGUUGGUCUAAGAGGAUGAUCAACCACACUGGGACUGAGACACGGCCCAGACCUCUACGGAGGGCAGCAGUGAGGAAUUUUCCGCAAUGGGCGAAAGCCUGACGGAGCAAUGCCGCGUGGAGGAUGAAAGCUUGUGAGUCGUAAACUCCUUUUCUUAGUGAAGAAAUAAGACGGUAUCUAUGGAAUAAGCAUCGGCUAACUCCGUGCCAGCAGCCGCGGUAAUACGGAGGAUGCAAGCGUUAUUCGGAAUUAUUGGGCGUAAAGCGUCUGUAGGUGGUUUUUUAAGUCUACUGUUAAAUAUUAAGGCUUAACCUUAAAAAAGCGGUCUGAAACUAAAAAACUUGAGUUUAGUAGAGGUAGAGGGAAUUCUCGGGUGUAGUGGUGAAAUGCGUAGAGAUCGAGAAGAACACCGGUAGCGAAAGCGCUCUACUGGGCUAAAACUGACACUGAGAGACGAAAGCUAGGGGAGCAAAUACGAUUAGAUACCCUAGUAGUCCUAGCUGUAAACGAUGGAUACUAAGUGUUGGGCUAUAAAAAGCUCAGUGCUGUAGCUAACGGCAUUAAGUAUCCCGUCCUGGGAAGUAUGCUCGCAAGAGUGAAACUCAAAGGAAUUGACGGGGGCCCGCACAAGCGGUGGAGCAUGUGGUUUAAUUUGAUGCAACGCGAAAAACCUUACCAGGGUUUGACAUUUCAUUUACUAUACAGAAAUGAAUAGGUUUAUAAUGAAAACAGGUGGUGCAUGGCGGUCGUCAGCUCGUGUCGUGAGACGUUGGGUUAAGUCCCGCAACGAGCGCAACCCUUAUUUCUAGUUCAUGUGUCUAGAAAAACUGCCAACGAUAAGUCGGAGGAAGGUGAGGAUGACGUCAAGUCAGCAUGCCCCUUACACCCUGGGCGACACACGUGCUACAAUGGUUAAGACAAUGGGAUGAUAUUUCGCGAGAAUGCGCAAAACUCAAAAACUUAAUCUCAGUUUGGAUAGCAGAAUGCAACUCGUUCGCAUAAAGUUGGAAUCGUUAGUAAUCGCUGGUCAGCCAUACAGCGGUGAAUACGUUGUCGGGCCUUGUACACACCGCCCGUCAUGUUAGGAAAGCUGGUCACACCCGAAGUCAUUACUUUAA